GUGGAUUAGAUACCCUAGUAGUCCACGCCGUAAACGAUGCUAACUCGUUUUUGGAUUUUCGGAUUCAGAGACCAAGCGAAAGUGAUAAGUUAGCCACCUGGGGAGUACGUCCGCAAGGAUGAAACUCAAAGGAAUUGACGGGGGCCCGCACAAGCGGUGGAUUAUGUGGUUUAAUUCGAUGAUACGCGAGGAACCUUACCAAGACUUAAAUGGGAAAUGACAGGUUUAGAAAUAGACCCUUCUUCGGACAUUUUUCAAGGUGCUGCACGGUUGUCGUCAACU
rnacentral:rRNA from 1 species